UCUGUGGCUCAGUGGUAGAACAUCUACAUAGUACCCAGAAGGUCCCAGGUUCAAUCCCUGGUAUCUGCA
rnacentral:tRNA from 1 species